rnacentral:rRNA from 1 species
GUGAGGAAUAUUGGUCAAUGGGCGGGAGCCUGAACCAGCCAAGUCGCGUGAAGGAAGAAGGAUCUAUGGUUCGUAAACUUCUUUUGCAGGGGAAUAAAGUGCAGGACGUGUCCUGUUUUGUAUGUACCCUGAGAAUAAGGAUCGGCUAACUCCGUGCCAGCAGCCGCGGUAAUACGGAGGAUCCGAGCGUUAUCCGGAUUUAUUGGGUUUAAAGGGUGCGUAGGUGGUUUGAUAAGUCAGCGGUGAAAGUUUGCAGCUUAACUGUAAAAAUGCCGUUGAAACUGUCGGACUUGAGUGUAAAUGAGGUAGGCGGAAUGCGUGGUGUAGCGGUGUAAUGCAUAGAUAUCACGCAGAACUCCGAUUGCGAAGGCAGCUUACUAAGCUACAACUGACACUGAAGCACGAAAGCGUGGGGAUCAAACAGGAUUAGAUACCCUGGUAGUCC